rnacentral:lncRNA from 1 species
UUCUAAGAAGAGGAGGAUGUCUUCCCCAAAUUCAACUUCAUCUCUAAUUUCCAGAUCUGCAACUAGGUUUCACUCAAAUUCCAAUACUUUCAACACCACAAGCUAUCAAUUCCGGUAGGAAUCAUCUGUUUUUCAUAUCAGCGGCUGUUGUUCUCCUUUUCGUAGCUUAUUUUUCAACUUAUUAAUGUGUAUAUAUAUACACACAUCGUACAAAUCUUAUUUCACCCCUCUAUCUUAGCUCUGCAUCAAAACCCUAAAUACAUCUCUACUCAAAUCUACCAGAUUUCGAGCUUAUGGUUAAAGAUGACAAUUCUUCUCAUGCUAGAAGUGAUAACAUUGACUGGAAUACUGAAGAUGAGUUUGAGAUAGCGAAUAUAUCAUAACCUUUGUCAUUUUCCAUGAGUACCACUGCUAAUGCAGCAGGAGUUACAACUGAAGUUGGGGAGGUAGUUAUAUAAAUAUAAUUCCACACACUGGUCCACAUGGAUUGUUAUUAGAUUUUGUCUGUUUUUGCAAACUUGCUAUUGUUUCUUUAAUUUGGUGGAUGUUGUCAAGUUCUUCUAGCAGUUAUCCCUCCAAGAUUGUUAAUGACUUUCUCAAAAUGGGAUUUUCCGAAGCAAUGGUGACUAACGUCAUAUUCUGUGAGUUUUCUUUACGCCUGCAACAAUCAGUCUAUUUGAUUAUGUAGUAGGCAUCUUAUAGUUUUUGUAUUAUUUAGUGCAAUGUUUCUUAACUAUGUACAUUAGAUUAUGGAGCUGGUAUGAUGACCAUACGGAUGAAGUUAAAUUAUGUUUUUAAUUAAUUAUUUAACUUU